GCGGAACUAAUGACACACUACUUUUAGAAAGACACAUAUGAGGACAGUCUUGUGCUUCAGGUGUCCAGUAGCCAAUCCUAGGCUUUCUUCGGCAGGCGUGCAGAACCACAGCCUUCGGCGCUAGGAUCCAGAAGGCAGGGCUUUGAUUUCCCAACUAAUUCCUCUGGCAAAACACGAAACGCUCAUAUGCACAACUUCCUGGUUAGAGAAGCGGACCGCGCUGAAUGUGAUCGCAGACUGACUUUUUAGAUGCGCGAGAGCGAGGCGCCGCACACAAGAGGAACUGAACGAGCGCGAGCGUCUGAAAGUGCGUCCGGUUGGGAUUAAUUUGAGAAUGCAAAGAGAAUGUAAAGGACGCCUCGGAGAGCAAGAAGUGUGUGCGGAUUGUGGGCAGUCCGAAAUGUCCCACGAAACAGGCACACGAUUUGUCGCCGGUCAUUGAAAUCGCCUCGAUCACUUGUCAUUAUUUUGGUUAGUCAAGUUAGCGUGUUUCCUUCAUUGACGCUCAAUUUGAUCCGCCGUUCCGUGUCGCUCUAAUCGCGCGUUUGGACAUGUGGAGACUGCAAGGAUCGUGUCGUGUGGGGAUGUUGUGUUUGACUUUAUCAGCCCUUCUCAUCCAACCCAUCAGCUGUCAUCCCGGUCAAAGAUCUCCAAACACUGUGGGGAGCGUCUAUCAUCUCCUGGCCGACACCACAGGAAGCUUCUGCUUGACACCAGUAUCCAUCAAGGGCCUCUUGUCAAAAGACACUGGAUUUCUAAUGCUCUACCUUGCCCUUCAGUCUCUGUUGCCGCACUCUCGCUCUCCUCUAAUGAGGAGUCCUUUCCUGUGUGAUUGAAAGGCAGUCGGUGCUAUAAAAUCAGAAAUGAAGCCCUCUACUCCUCUGCCAUUCUUAUCCACCCAUCACCAAAAUCCUGACCUGCAUACAAAGAGCCUGUUAAGCGUUUAAUUGAAAGCAGAGAGUAAAAAUCAAUACGCAGGAAGCUUUAAAAAUAACGGGAAGCAGUGAUCCAGAUCCAUAUUUCAUAUCCACAGAUGGGUGUAACUUUUACAUAUGUCACUGGCUCACUUUAGCGUACAUUUUACAGUCUUUUUAAACUAGAUUGGUGUUUGACUGUGG
rnacentral:lncRNA from 1 species